rnacentral:lncRNA from 1 species
AGCUUAGGACCACAUGUGCGCCUAAAUAAAAAUAGGACUUAGCUUUGCAAUUUCAUAAUUUUAGGACUAAAGUGACACCAAUUCAAUAAUAGUAGGACCGUGGAUGUAUUUACCUCAUCUUUAAUUGCAGAGACGCAAAUGGAUAGAGUACACUCUUUAGUUAAAUAAAUAAAUUGUUCUUUCAAAAAGUGACGUAACUUUGCAAAUUUAUUCAUUUGAUUGAACUAACCAGGGUCGGAGAGUACUUUAAUGAUGACUCAUUUGCAUGAUUGCAUCUCUAUUUUAUUGGAUAGGAAGAUGGGAACAUCCAAACCAGAAUAUGUCCUUUCAGUUAAAAAAAAAAGAAUAUGUCCUUUCGGGUGCAAAUGUACAGCUAAGAUGGAACAUACAAUCCACCACUUUGUAUAUUUUGACAGAACCCUUACAUACAUGCCUUUCUCACUGUCACUCUAUCCCUUUCUCUCGUCCUAAAUGAGGGGGUUUCGUAUAACAAGUCAUGCAACAAAAUGAC